GGGCCUGUAGCUCAGCUGGGAGAGCGCUGCGUUCGCAAUGCAGAGGUCAGGGGUUCGAACCCCCUCAGGUCCACCA
rnacentral:tRNA from 1 species